GGGUAGAAGCUCCACAAUGUCCCAGUGCAGUGAUGGGGAUGCUGUGCUGUAGGAGACACAAUCUUUUGGAUGAGACAUUCAAUCAAGCUGAUGCGUGGUGAACAUUCUGGUGCAAAAUGGCUGCUGUCCCUCAUGCAGGUGGGUGCUAAACAUUGGUGGCAGUUGAGCAGUUCCCUCAUCACUGUAUGGUGCAAGAAAAUUUGAGUGGGAGAAAAGCACUAUAUAAAUGCAAGUGUACAUACAUGCACUGCAUUUUCAUGAGAGAGACUCUUGUCAUGCGGAGUAGACUGUCGGGACAUACCAGAAGAUGAAAAAGUGGAAAUGGAUGUUACAGAAGGCUUCAUGGGGCAAAUUCUUGAUAAUUUGGGAUAUCUGUAUAUAUUUGUGUUUGUCUGUUCUAAAUACGAAAAUUAUGAAGAUGUUUGUGUCUCUCUUAGUUCAAGUGUGCAAUCAUCAUUUUCAAAUGUAAUCCUGGAUUUCUGUAUGUCUGUAUCCCGAAAAGGCAAAAACAAAAUGCACGAUUUCACAUGUUCCUGGGUACGGCGUUUGCCACAGGAGAAGUCAAGUGUUUCGCUCCUAACACUGAUCUGGGAUCAGCCAGACUGGCGGCUGAUACAGUGGAGAGACACAGGCCCCCAGUGUAUGACAUUGCAGACAAAGGCAGCGCUGCCUUUAUUUAUCCACACCCGUGUGUAAAUGGAGGGCUUCUUUCCAUCGAUGCCACUUUGGCACCUGUCACCAGCACUUAAUUUACCAAACAGGAAAAUCUAUGUAACUGAUCUCACUAUUGGCUGGAGAGACAAUGCAUCUAUAUUAAUAUAAAAGUGACAUGAUGCUGCUGAAAGGGACGCCUUUAUAAAACAAGGCAUGGUGACAGUUUCUCAGACAUUUUAUUACCAGGGGAAAAUCUGGAUUUAUUUGAACCCUCCAAGCAAGUACAACACGUGUUCAUUUCAUUAUUCUAAUUAAACUGAAAGGUCACUCUUUAAGAGCUGUAUAUACUGUUACUAAAGUAAUAUUUACAAACAUAAAGUAAACAAGAGAUAAAUAAUUAA